UCGGCAGCAGUGCUCUGAGCGGCUGUUGCGUCCCUAGCCCAGGCCUUGCCUGGAUGUUUAUCGCUAUUGAUCAGCAUUGCAAGAAAAAGUACAGUAUGGCACAGCAGACAUACGGGGGACCCGGAGAGCGAUUUUGAAUAGGCAUCUACCUAAAGUGAUUAAGAAUCCUGAGCCCCUUUGCCUGUUGUUCUUGUGAAGGCAAAGCAUCGUUCUGUGGCAAGGAAAUGUGAUUUUCUUCUUUUCUGUUCCUCUUAAAACAAAAUGUUCAGAUGUUUAUGACCUCCUGGAGUAAAACCAGUUACAAAAGCCUGCACCCAUAAAGGUGUAUGGGGUGAGGCUGACUCAUUUCUAGGUUCCCGAGCUGCCAGAUGUGUACCUGUGGCACGCAACAACUUCAAAUAGCCGCAGAUUCAUCUCUUGGCUGCAGUGGAGAGGAGCGCUGCUCUGUAGCUGAUCUGCAAGGCAAAUGCUCUCGCAAGCCUGGCUUCUCGCUGUCACUAAUGGCCGGCACGCAGAACUUUAUCCUGCAGCUCAGGUCGCCACCUUUCCGCAGCUGCUGGCCGACCUGAGCAGCAGAUUUCACGGGACAUGGAGACUGGACCAUUUGUGUAAUUAGUUUAACAUCUUCUUUAUCGUUAGCAACAAUUAUCUCCAAAGUAAACUUUUUCUGAAGUGCUGCAUGUGACAUCUCGGCUCAGGAAGUUGUCACCUGAUCUCCAUGGCUUUUUAAGUGUUGUGCCUCAGCUCUGCCAUACAGUCCUAGAAACUCCAACUAGUUAAGAGCUGGCAAAAGGAAUUUGAUGCUGCAAAUGCUGGAAUACAACUGAGCUACAUUAAUUGCCUUGCUGACUACAAGCACAGUUAAAGCAGGACACCACAGAAGUGAAGGAACACCAUCUUUUAAAAAGGCUUCAGACAAGUUCAGGGAGCCAAUGCUCACAUUAGCAGCAGUACAGCUUCUUCGGUACAGCUCAAUGGUUUUGCAAGGAGAAAAAAAAGGCAUAAUGAGCUGCCACUGCAAGAUGAUUGCUUAGCCAGUUCUGUGCAGUGAAAGCUGUGAGUCUAGGGGAAAUGGUACAGAAUCCAUAAAUAAAGGCUGAGGCAAUGUGUGCUUGUCUCAGAGUAGAUUCUUCAUAAAAGUCAUAUUUCCACAUAAUGUGACACAUUGAGCAUGAAGAAUGAAUGCAAAGGCUGCUGGUGUUUCACACAGGUGACAGAGGAGGGUGUAGCGAUGAGAAAAAAGAACCUGCCAAGUCCCACCUUUUUGGAGAGGCACAUAUACAUGAGAGAAGUCAGUUUAAAGCAGGAGAAUCAUAGGAAUAGACACGUGAGUGUGUGCCAGUUUGAAGUUGUUCACUUUAAAACUAGAUUCUCUCUUUAAAAAUGCAUUUAUAACUAUUUUUUUAA